rnacentral:rRNA from 1 species
GACGAACGCUGGCGGCGUGCUUAACACAUGCAAGUCGUACGGUAAGGCCCUUUCGGGGGUACACGAGUGGCGAACGGGUGAGUAACACGUGAGUAACCUGCCCACAACUUUGGGAUAACGCUAGGAAACUGGUGCUAAUACUGGAUAUGUGCUCCUGCUGCAUGGUGGGGGUUGGAAAGCUCCGGCGGUUGUGGAUGGACUCGCGGCCUAUCAGCUUGUUGGUGGGGUAGUGGCCUACCAAGGCGGCGACGGGUAGCCGGCCUGAGAGGGUGACCGGCCACAUUGGGACUGAGAUACGGCCCAGACUCCUACGGGAGGCAGCAGUGGGGAAUAUUGCAUAAUGGGCGCAAGCCUGAUGCAGCAACGCCGCGGGCGGGAUGACGGCCUUCGGGUUGUAAACCGCUUUCAGCAGGGACGAAGCUUUUUGUGACGGUACCUGCAGAAGAAGCACCGGCUAACUACGUG